rnacentral:lncRNA from 1 species
AAAUCAAACCAAACUAGUCUCAGAUACACCAAACAGAAUCAAACAAGUAACAGUUACUCAAAGUCAGACCAUUUUGACUAAAGUUAAGAUCCUACAUAUAUGCUAAAACUCAAACCAAACUAGUCUCAGAUACACCAAACAGAAUCAUACCAAGUAAACAGUAACUCAAAGUCAGGUCCUUUAUAGCAUAAAUCGAGCUUAAGACAAAGAAUAAUGUGACAUUAACUCAAAGUCAAGUCCUUUAUAGUGUACCUUACUUUAAGCUUAUGACCCUUUUUACUAAAGUUAAGAUCCUACAUCUAUGCAAGUAAAACUCAAACCAAACUAGUCUCAGACACACCAAAACAGAACUCAAACGAAGCAACAGUAACUCAAAGUCAGGUCCUUUAAGACAUAAAUCGAGCUUAAUGGCAAAGAAUAGUGUGGCAUAACUCAAAGUCAGGUCCUUUAUGACAUAAA